AAGUUUGUUUUCUAUGUCUGUGUAAGUCUGUUUCUGUUUUUUUUUUUUAAAUCACUGUCUCUUAUUUCUUCCUAAAGUUUCCGUAAGUCUCAGUCGGCCAACAGGGAUGGCUGGUGAGCAGCUGUUCCGACACAUGGCUCACACUCCGAGAUCCACACCUUUGCUUCUUUGGGUCUCUGAAGCCCUGGUCUUUCAGUUUAGUCCCCAGUGCCGUCCGUUCCAUCUCAGCAUUUGAAACCAGUGUUCCAGCUGAGCGUGGCCCCGCCUCUCCUCACUACUUUCACUAUUGGAAAUUGUAAGUUGGAGGCGGUAGGCAAGAUAAUGGCCCCCACCCUAAUCCUGGGAACGCGUGUUACCCUGCGUGGCAGAGAGAUUCUGCAGGUGUGGUUGAGGUCAAGGAUCUGAGGUGGGAGACCGUUCUGGAUUAUCUGGGUGGACUCAGUGUGAUCACAGGACUCCUUACAAACUGAGCCCCUUUCCCACCCGCACAGAGCCAGAGAGACGGCAGGGUGAGGAGGAGGUGGCUAUUACAAACGGAGAAAGAGGACAGGGACCAAGGAGGCGGUGGCUUCUAGAAACUGGACAAGGCCAGGUUCUCCUCUAGAGCCUCCCGCCUUGAUGUCAGCUGUGCAAGACCCACCUUGACCUUCUGAUCCCCAGAACUGUCACCUCAUCAGUUCGUACUGUCUAACAAACGACCGUGUGUGUGGUUCGUUACAGCAGCAACAGAAAAGUACUGAAGGGCUUUUUAAACACCGACUGUGGUGACGUUUGUGUCCUUUAAGUUUGUGUUUGAAUACGUAUGUGAAGGGAUUGUGUGUGUUUUAAGCUUGGAAGGCCCUGCGGAAUUGCAUGCAGCUGCCUAUGUACAACACAAAAUACGGUCUCAGAGAAGGAAGCAGAAGCGAAAUCAAUGCUAAAGAGAAGGGGUUCUUGUUUUUCUCAAGCAAACCCAGCAUUCUGCUCCCAAGGAGAGGAGAACAAAACCUGCCCUAACUUCGGGCCACCUGUGUCCCGGGCGGAUCAUGUGACAAUGAGAGUAUCCUGGCUCCUGAGCUGAAAAUGGGCUGAUGACACCGUGUUCUGCUGGCAAGCACACGGUCCCGUCCGGAGGCGCUGGGCUUUGACCCGGAGCUUCCAGUCCAACAGCUUCAAGUCUUUAUAGUUAGUCUUUCUGGGGACCUCGGAGCCCAGUUCUUAGUCUCCAUCUUUUUUCCCGUGGGAUGAGCGGGAAGUACACUUACCACUGCACGUAUGCUUGCUGCUUCUUGAAAAGAGAUUCUUUUUUUCUCUGAGGUCUUCAGUGUAGUCUUUCUCGUUUCGGUCUGACUUGAACACUAUCGCUCCCAUCACGGUCCGCAGAGAGCCAGACCAGGUUGUUCCUUCGCGGCGGUCGGAUCCGGACAGCUGGAACUUACCAGAGGGUUACGUCCCACGGCUCGUGUUCAGGUCUGUGAGCUGGAACUUGGAGCAGAUUUCCCCAGACAGAGUCGUAAAAGACGACCUGGUCCCUCGGCUGCCUUUGUGAUGUGUAUUUGAAGGAUCCCAGUGUGAGUGCUAGGCGAGAGGGGGCUCCACGCAGGAGGAGAGAGAGUGCGUGAGGAGACCCUCUCUCCUGUUUCUGGGCAAGUAUGCACGUAGCCAACACACUGAGCAGGUGAAGUUCAUUUCCUUCCUCCGCCCGGUACCCACUUGCCACUGUCCGCCCCGCCUCCCGCAGGAAAUCCAGAGCCCCGAGCCCUCUGCUGUGGGGUAAGACCCAGGCUUUCCAACAUCUCGUCCUCGGGGACCCCUGACUGGCGUCUUCAAAUGAACAGGCCUCCCAGGAGGAGCUCCUCAGGGCCGCUGUCCUCCCUGAGCCCCUCAUCCCCAGCUGCUCGGGUCUGAGUGUCCGUGUGCUUGUCCCCCCCAACCAGAUUCACUAACCCCCGGGGUGACGACAUGGGGAGAUGCGGGGGCCUUUGCGGGGUGAUUGGGUCAUGAAGGUGGAGCCCCCACGGCUGGGAUUAGUGUCCUUAUAAAAGACCGAAAGCCAACCCACAGGCCCGACACCUGAGACGUUCUGUCCGCACGGAGGCCGCCCGAGUCGCUGGCUUGCCCACAGCCCGCUCUUGCUGCCUUCUGGCUUCUCGUCCUGCUGGCCGUCUGGAGCAGGGAGCGGCUCUCUUCCCUGUGCUGGGAUCUUGUAGAACAUUGUCCUAAAGUGCAGGAACGUCCGCUCUGGGAGUGCCAGCAGGUGCUUUGACAAAGAGGGGCCCCGAAGUCAGAUGGCUCUGGGAGAAGCUGAGUGAAAGGUAAACAGGUUUCUUCCCAGAGGACUUCCCAGAAUGUUGAUGUGUCGACAUGGCUAAUGCGAUACGGAGUGUUUCCCAAACUUACCUGAUCUGGGGGAGUGUCUCAAGGUUUCGGGUCGGGGGUCUGUGAGGCCACGCCUCCAAGCCCAGGGGUCGGAGCAGGUGGUUGUGGGUGUCGGGGAGGGGCUGCCAUGGGGUGGCAGUAACUUUUCAUGGUCCUGAACCUUCGCCCUGGGCCCCCGCAGGGCUGGCUCUGUGAAACCUGGAUGCUGAAGUCUUUGCAGAUUCUUUCAGGGGUUCUGACCUGUGGAAGGGAAGAGGUGAUGCUGGAAGAAAUGGACAGGUAAGGGAUGAGAAACAGCCAACCCCACUGGAGAGGCAGAGCUCCUGAGAGGCUGCAGGAAGAGAAAGAGAAAGAGAGAUCUGGCACCACUGCUGUAGGAGAAUUUCAGUUCCCAAGACAGUGAUCACCACGGACCACGAUCAAAACUUGAAGGACUGAAGGGGAGGAGAAGCUCAAUUUUGGAAUUGGAGUAGGAGAAAUAAAAAAGCGACUAACGGAGAAAAGAUAAGGAAAUGAACGAAUGGUCCAAGUUUGGAUGCUGGUGGUGGGGACUGCGGAGUGAGCUCCAGCUCCGAGCAGGAAAUGCAAGUGAAGGCGACUGUCUGGAUGAGCUGUCACUCCGCUGUUCCUGCAAAGACCCACCGGCGCCGCCCGAAAGCCCCUCGCUCCUCCCGAGGCUCGGCGUCGGGGCGGCUAGCUUGGGGGCAGGCCUUCACACCCAGGGGCGCGGAGCCGGCGUCUCAUAACUGGCGCCGACCUGCUUCGCCCAGAGGAGGAAUCGGCUUUCUCUUCUAACCUUGCUUUGGGUCAGAGGGUUGCCUGUGUCAAAAUGAAAGAGGUGUGAAGAGGAUGCAGGUUUUUUUUAAAAAAGGGAAAGGCGAUGCCAGAUUUAAGGUAAGGCGGUAAGACAGUUCUUGGUUCUGCGGCGUCAGUAAGCAGGCUGGGUCCCCGCGGCAGGCGAGCGCUCUGGCCUGAGCCGGGAGGCAGGCCUUGCCCACGUGCUGGAGCGCAGCACCGGAGGGACGCCAGGCUGCCGCUUUCUGUCCUAGUCGAGAGCACCGAGUGUCCUGCUUAACAAGGCGCUCUGCUAACCUUGUCAUGUUCCAUGAACUCUUUCACCCUGUAUCUUUCCCAAGCCAACUCGUUUCUCUAAAUUCAGAGUACCAAAGGAUGUCCGUAUCCAAGGACUGUCUUACUGUUUACAGUUUUCUAGUUUUAAGUUACUUUCAUAUAAUAAAAGUAACGAAUGCACACUUAUGGGCAACAUUUCAGAUGUCACUGAGUGGCGCAAAGCAACAAGUGAAAUUUCCCCUUUCCGUAGCCCCUCUGAACAUUUUUCGGUGCGUCCCUCCAGAAACUCUCGCCCAGGUGCUAUUAUACCAUGCAGUCCCUUCUGCAGUUGGCUUUCUUGCUCUGUUUCCUAUCUCUUAACUUGCGCUCGGCAGCCCGUCCUUUAUUAAAGGCUGGAUGAUGUUCGUUGGGAGGAUAUUCUGUAAUAAAUUGAACAGGCGUGUAUUCAUGAGCACUUGGCCUGUUCCGGAUUGUUCCCCCAUUUCACAGACCGCUGCAGGAGCCCCGUGGACUGUGGACGCACGUACUUGUUCACGCAGAGGAUGCGGGCUUGGAUGUGGAAUUGCUAAGACACAGGGGACGUGCAUUUUGCAUGGUCGAUUGCUGCUGGGCAGUUGCCCUCCAGGGAGACGGCGGUCAAUUCCCCCAAAGUAUGCGGGUGUUUGUUUAUCUCUGCCCUUACUCAAGAUUUCAUUUAUCAAGCUACUUGGGUUUUUUAAUCUGAGAAAUGAAACUUACCUCUUACUGCAGCUUAAAUUUCCUUAACGAUCGUGGUGUUGAAUAUCUUCACGUAUUUUCCCGUCAGCCCACAUUUUUACCUUUACCUAUUUUUCUACAAGGGGCUUUAAGUUUUCUUUGUAAUGACUUGGGAGAAGCAUCUGUGUAGGCAGGAAAUUCAGCCUUGGUAUGUUUUCUACAUUGCAACUAUUUUUUACAAAAUGGUAUUUUUAAUUUGUUUAUGGGAUUUUUAAACAUAUGUUAAAGUUUUGGGGCUGUUUUUGGUGUCUGUGUAAUCAUUUAUACACUAAUCAUUUCUUUCCUGACUUGUGGGAGAGACCAUAUUUUUUAAGCUAGUUUAAUUUUGUUCUGCCACCUAUUUUUUUCCUGCUAUAUGGGUCACAUUUUGCUAUUUUCAAAAAAAAAAUAAACAA